GAUAAACCACGCCCCUUACUACAAACACAUUACACUACAGCCGCAGCUGCUUGAGAAGGCCAACGUCAUUGAGCAAGUGUCACUGCUGCCAACAUGGAGCAACUAGUCCAAAACAAACCUCCUAACUGUCCCGUGAGCACCUGGCUGCAAUCAGCGACACCUGUGACAACAUCCACCAUAGCAUGAAACUGUUAACCUGGAGGUGUAUGAAACAGGUGUGACGGACAACCUUUCGUGACAAGCUCCAUGGCAAAGCUGAUCAAAGAACUGCUUGGAGAAGGCCGCCCUCUGCCGCCACUGAGGACAACUACACUAAUACAGACAAGAGCGCCUCAACAGUUACACAC